rnacentral:ncRNA from 2 species
AGAGUUAAACAGUACGUGAAAUUGUCAAAAGGGAAACGCUUGAAACCAGUAUUGCUUGCAUGAAAUCAUCCGUUCCGUAAGGUGCGGUGCACUUUUGUGUAGGCAGGUCAACAUGAGUUUUCUGUGCGGUAAAAAGCCUUGGGAAGGUAGCGCUUACUUCGGUGGGCGUGUUAUAGCCCAAGGAAAUGCCGGGUGGAAGACUGAGGACUGCAGUGGAUCUUGUUAGCCACCUAGCUGCCAUUGAAAACGUUGCUUUGAACAUCUUGAUGAUCUUAACAGCGCCUAGGUGUCAGCUAGAAUGGCCUGCAAUCUGCUUUGGAUGCUGACGAAAUGGUUUUAAACGACC